CAAAUGUAUACACGAUACAAACAUAUAUUACAACCAAAUUAGUGACAUAGACAUCCAAUUAUAGAAUACAUAUCUAUGUUACCACAUUUUAACCAAAGAUCGAUAUAUAGAACCCAUCAUAAUAAGCGGAUUACCGCCAUUAAACCACCACUCCAGAUCCACCAUUGAAUCACCGCCGAUUGUCACUAAAGUUUCGCAACAACACCCCUGCAAGCAAGUUUCCCUUGUUGAACCUCCACUCUACAUCCAUUGUUCAUCCAUCGCGGAUUAUCACCGGAUUCUUUCAGAUUCAGAUCUUACAUAAACAUGCUUUUGACGAAAAAAACAAAUGAAGAAAAAGAAUCAACAACGAUGAAGCUAUCAACAUAAAAAAUAGACGAAGAAAGAGAGAUGUGAAUGGAGUUGAAAGAGAGAGAUAGAUGUGACUUAUGGGGUGGAAGAGAC
rnacentral:lncRNA from 1 species